AGAGUUUGAUCCUGGCUCAGAACGAACGCUGGCGGUAUGCUUAACACAUGCAAGUCGAACGAGAAAGCUUCUUCGGAAGUAAGUAGAGUGGCGCACGGGUGAGUAACACGUAGAUAACCUACCCUUCAGCCUGGGACAACCCUUCGAAAGGAGGGCUAAUACCGGAUAAUACUAGGUGUCGAGUGGCAUUUAGUUGAAAGAUUUAUCACUGAUGGAUGGGUCUGCGUACCAUUAGCUAGUUGGUGGGGUAAAGGCCUACCAAGGCGUCGAUGGUUAGCGGGUCUGAGAGGAUGAUCCGCCACACUGGAACUGAGACACGGUCCAGACUCCUACGGGAGGCAGCAGUGGGGAAUUUUGCGCAAUGGGCGAAAGCCUGACGCAGCAAUACCGCGUGAGUGAAGAAGGCCUUUGGGUCGUAAAGCUCUUUUAUUAGGGAAGAUAGUGACGGUACCUAAUGAAUAAGCACCGGCUAACUCCGUGCCAGCAGCCGCGGUAAUACGGAGGGUGCGAGCGUUGUUCGGAUUUACUGGGCGUAAAGGGCACGUAGGCGGCAUAGCAAGUUAAGGGUGAAAUCCCGGGGCUCAACUCCGGAACUGCUCUUAAAACUGCUAAGCUAGAGACAGUCAGAGGCGGGUGGAAUUCCUGGUGUAGAGGUGAAAUUCGUAGAUAUCAGGAGGAACACCGGUGGCGAAGGCGGCCCGCUGGGACUGUUCUGACGCUAAGGUGCGAAAGCGUGGGGAGCGAACGGGAUUAGAUACCCCGGUAGUCCACGCCGUAAACGAUGAAUACCGGCUGUUUGAGGCAUCGACCCCUCAAGUGGCGCAGCUAACGCGUUGAGUAUUCCGCCUGGGGAGUACGGUCGCAAGACUAAAACUCAAAGGAAUUGACGGGGGCCCGCACAAGCGGUGGAGCAUGUGGUUUAAUUCGACGCAACGCGAAGAACCUUACCUGGGUUUGACAUCCUCUGACCGCCAUAGAGAUAUGGUUUCCCCUUCGGGGGCAGAGUGACAGGUGCUGCAUGGCUGUCGUCAGCUCGUGUCGUGAGAUGUUGGGUUAAGUCUCGCAACGAGCGCAACCCCUAUCUUUAGUUACCAGCGAGUUAAGUCGGGGACUCUAGAGAUACUGCCCCGGUCAACGGGGAGGAAGGUGGGGACGACGUCAAGUCCUCAUGGCCUUUAUGCCCAGGGCUACACACGUGCUACAAUGGGCUGUACAAAGGGUCGCGAACUCGCGAGAGUGAGCCAAUCCCAUAAAACAGCUCCAAGUUCGGAUUGGAGUCUGCAACUCGACUCCAUGAAGCUGGAAUCGCUAGUAAUCGUGGAUCAGCAUGCCACGGUGAAUACGUUCCCGGGUCUUGUACACACCGCCCGUCACACCAUGAGAGUUGGCUGUACCAGAAGUUGUUGGACUAACCUCGUUUAUCGAGGGGGUAGGCACCUAAGGUAUGGUUGAUGAUUAGGGUGAAGUCGUAACAAGGUA
rnacentral:rRNA from 1 species